CCUGUUGGAAAAAGAAACCCAACUGUUACUAAAUAUGUUGGAAGAAAGUGUUACAAAUAUGAGAAAUAUGUUAGAAAUAUGUUCUUUCACUGAGAAUUAUUUUUAUUUAAUUUAUACAUUUAUUAUUUAAUUCAUAACUACAUUCUUUAUUUUAUUCUUCAUUUCAUUGAUCAUUUCAUUUGAUCUCAGAGGUCUUUUUGAUUCAGUAGAUGGUCCUGUGAAGAAAAACUUUUCAAAUUGAUUUCAUUGGUUCAUUUCAGUUUAGCUGAGUUGCUAUUGGUUAAGGCAACGCAUGUCCCGCCUCCUUCACGUUAGAGACGCUGCGGUAGUGUGUGAAAAAUACACAGAGAGCAGCAGGACGAUAAUUGAGACACAGAGGUUUUGGAGUGAUGAAACUUUAAAAAAUACACUUUAUAUUGUUAAAAGGAGGAACUGUGUAAACAGAGAAAAGUCCGGUGAACCACUGAAGCGACCCUGGGAACAUCUUGUGUUUGUUUUAUUAUUUUAUUGUCCCGGCUGGGUUUUUUGGAUACCCUGAGAUCCUGGACCGUGGAUUUGGAGUGAUUCUCUCCCUGACGAGGGGGAUGGCGGGCUACCCGCGUGAGCAUUUUGGAUUGAGGAGGAACCUUUCCAUUCUUCAUUCUCUGUCCUGCCAGAGUGGUAGGGUUGUGGGGAAGGACUUCCAAGAACUUUCGAAUUGAACUAUUUCUUUUGGGUAAAACAUUUUAUUUUAUUUAGGGUGCACCCGGUAAAAAAGACAUUUCAAAUAAGAACAAAAGUAACUGUCGGCAGUGUAUGUAAACUGUUUAUUUUCUAUAUAUGUUAAUACAGUGUUUUGCUUAAAUCUA